UACGGAGGAUGCGAGCGUUAUCCGGAUUUAUUGGGUUUAAAGGGUGCGUAGGCGGAUUGAUAAGUCAGUGGUGAAAACCUGCAGCUUAACUGUAGACUUGCCAUUGAUACUGUCAGUCUUGAGUAUGGUCAAGGUAGGCGGAAUGUGUAAUGUAGCGGUGAAAUGCUUAGAUAUUACACAGAACACCGAUUGCGAAGGCAGCUUGCUGGGCCAUUACUGACGCUGAUGCACGAAAGCGUGGGGAUCGAACAGGAUUAGAUACCCUGGUAGUCCACGCCGUAAACGAUGAUCACUCGCUGUUGGCGAUACACAGUCAGCGGCUAAGCAAAAGCAUUAAGUGAUCCACCUGGGGAGUACGGCCGCAAGGCUGAA
rnacentral:rRNA from 1 species